rnacentral:rRNA from 1 species
UACGGGGGGGGCAAGCGUUAUCCGGAAUUAUUGGGCGUAAAGCGCGCGCAGGCGGUUUCUUAAGUCUGAUGUGAAAGCCCACGGCUCAACCGUGGAGGGUCAUUGGAAACUGGGGAACUUGAGUGCAGAAGAGAAAAGCGGAAUUCCACGUGUAGCGGUGAAAUGCGUAGAGAUGUGGAGGAACACCAGUGGCGAAGGCGGCUUUUUGGUCUGUAACUGACGCUGAGGCGCGAAAGCGUGGGGAGCAAACAGG